rnacentral:lncRNA from 1 species
ACAAGAAACCCGUGUCGAGAAUAGGCCGCCUGAACUCGACUUGAAUGUCGAGUGUGCCCUGCCACUGGCGCCACCUAGAGAUGCCUGGCAUGCUUGACCCCUGACCUGUGUAUUUCAUGUUGUCAUGAAAAGCUGGUCAUAUUAAAGUGUUCUCAAAAUAAAAAGCCUGUCUCCGCCUGCGUUGUCACGAAACACUGACCUAAUGUGCACCCGUAUAUAGGCCUACCAACAACUCCGUAAUUGCCGGCGUCACGAUCUAAUCUGGGAUGGAGGCCGUGCUGAGGUCGAUGGAUAAAUACGAAAUCAUCCCCCAUAUGUGGCAAGCAAUCUACGCCCAUGACGCCCAUGAGUCAUUAUUUGUUUUAAUAAGGUGGACAUCAAUCCACGGGGACUCCGGGGACUUCGCUGUCCGGCGUUGAGUGGCCAAAAUUCAACUCGAAUGAUCUUAGGUACAUGUCACUUACCGAUUGUCCUCAAGCCUUCUCCGGCAACGACAACAACUGGCAACAUCUCCUCCGGUUCUGGGCAAGUUACCUACCGACCAUCACGUCACCCGUUCCUCCACCUCCUGAGGUGACCCCCUGCCCGCCGGAUGAAGAGCCUUGCGUGGUCGGUGAAGGUAUCGGGUUAAAACUAUCCUCAGAGCAGGCUAGUACCGUCAUCGAAGCUCUGAUUGGAGCAGUCAUAGGUGCUUUGGUGUUGUCUGUCUUCUUUUUUGGGGGUUGUAUGGCAUACAGGGCUCGGGCAAAGCGGAUUGAGGUGCAAAGUCAGAAAGGCAAGGGGAAAGGCCUGGCACAUUACUUGGAUGAUGCAGAGAGAGAGGAAUUUAGCUCUAGGCUUUGAAGCUAAACCAUCAAAACGUCCAGAUAUGCAGUACACGUAUGUCCGAAUGAAAACGUCGAUUCAAAGGUUGUCAAAUUAAUUAAAAACUGUUGAAAAUUAAAGGACAUCAAACAAGCUCUUCAACUUCCUUCAACCGGAUUAAGGUAACAUGGGCGUCCUUCCUGAGCAAGUAUUACGGGCACAUUAUUCCUUGCAGUUAGUCCUUGUUAGUAAGUUACCAUAGUUACCAUAUACAUGUACUGGAGAACAGAAAUGUUGGUCUAGCUAAAUGUUAAUAAGUUUGAAUUUACUGAGUAGACUAAUUUAGGUUAAGUAGACUAACCUGAUAGCUUAUAACCUAUAUUUUAACCAAGACAUGUAGAAUUGACAAAGUGACUCUACAACCAAAUGUAUAACAGGAAAAUGUGUAUGCACAAAAGAUACUCAGGGUUUGGAUUCUGUUUCUAAAGGAAGCAGCUUCUCAAACGAGAAACGAUUUAUUCAUGGACAUUUAAGAACAAACAACUGGAUGGAACGUACCUUUAACAGACGUAUUCUGCAGGGGCACAGCUAUUUUGUCACAUAGUUUAAAAUGUUGUGCUCAUAAUUAUUCGACGUUAUGAAUUCAACACACUAAAUCCACUUACGUUGGUGAAAUAUGAUAUAACAAAAGUCUUUUCGUUGGCAUGUCCUUACACUCAACCCAGUGUGUCUCCACGUUGUCAUGAUUGUAUAGGACUAAUGGCGUUCGAUUGUCAUCUGGACCACAGGUGAGAGGGUACUCGUGUCCAGAGUAGCAGCUUUGCAGAGUAACAGAGCCGUGUGUAGAGAGAGUUGGGACAUAAGUUUAAGUGUUCACCAUUGUUGAAAACAAACUGACAGGCGUAUGUUCCAGUGCACAUGGACAGUUUGCGUACUAUAGCUGCUCGCUCUACUGUACACAUAAUGAUCAGACUUUUUUUAAAAUCUGAAACUGGUGCUACGUCUUUCUCUGCAUAUACAGCUCUGCAGGUAAGAUGCUUGCAGCUACCACUUUUGGGAAGAACUCCUGAUACGUGUACAUUUAGUUGAUACGAUACUUUUAAUUCAGGUUUACUCAGUCACCUUUGAAAUUUUAAUAUGGCAAAGUUAUUUAAUAGCGAGGAUCAAUAUUGUAUACAAAAAAGACCAGGUAUAUUUUCUUAAAAAUAUAUGCCAUUUAUCCUUAUAAAAAUAUAAUCAGUCAGUGCGUAAUUUUCUAUUUAAAGACGGGGAAAUAAUGCUGGAUACAGGUGAAUUAAUUCUGUCUGUGCCAGUUGAUGCGGUGUUCUGGAGGCUGUGAGUGUUAAACGAUGUAUGACUGGACGUAAUCCUCUUUCCUACUGCGAACAGCCUUCGCAGCUCCCACACUUCGCCGAUCUACGGCAGGACUCAGCUGUUGCAUCCUCUUCACGUCUCUCUGCUCCAAGAUCUUCUGUAUGAGCUCUCUUCAAGUCGGAAUCCCUAAUUUCUCCUGAUGAAGGACACGACACAAUGUUCGAUAGGCCUACGUUGAGUCCGCCAGCCUUCCUGUCAGAGACCCACCCAAUGACAAAAUAGACAUGGUGCCAUCGCAAACCUUUGUCUUCAUGUACUUGGAAUGCCUUCAACUCUUGUUAAUCUACGUCACAAAAUUUACCAACACUGAUUUGAGCUUUAUUGGAAGUACAAAACUCUUAGUAACAUCAUGUUAGAACAUGGAAGGUAACACUAAAUUAAUUACCUACAGUUUUGAGGCUAAAACCAGUCACUGCUUUUGCCAAGAUAAUACAAUUAUGCAAACGUAAUUUGAGCAGAGAGAAAACCCUUGACAUUAAUUCAA